AUGAACGCUGGCAGCGUGCCUAAUCCAUGCCAGUCGAGCGAACAGAUGAGGAGCUUGCUCCUCUGACGUUAGCGGCGGACGGGUGAGUAACACGUGGAUAACCUACCUAUAAGACUGGGAUAACUUCGGGAAACCGGAGCUAAUACCGGAUAAUAUAUUGAACCGCAUGGUUCAAUAGUGAAAGACGGUUUUGCUGUCACUUAUAGAUGGAUCCGCGCCGCAUUAGCUAGUUGGUAAGGUAACGGCUUACCAAGGCAACGAUGCGUAGCCGACCUGAGAGGGUGAUCGGCCACACUGGAACUGAGACACGGUCCAGACUCCUACGGGAGGCAGCAGUAGGGAAUCUUCCGCAAUGGGCGAAAGCCUGACGGAGCAACGCCGCGUGAGUGAUGAAGGUCUUCGGAUCGUAAAACUCUGUUAUUAGGGAAGAACAAAUGUGUAAGUAACUAUGCACGUCUUGACGGUACCUAAUCAGAAAGCCACGGCUAACUACGUG
rnacentral:rRNA from 1 species